CCUCUUCCUUGACAGGGGCAACAGGUGCGCCAGGGGCGGCGGCCUCCUCGGCCCGCACCACCAUCCUUCCGGAGUUGCGCCUUGACAUCAUCACUGCAGGUCGACAUUGAACUCUGCUAGGGAACAUCGACGAGGUGGCGGAUCCAGUAACAAUGGCGUUGGACACCACGCCCACGAAACUGGAAGCAGCGGUGGCCAUAUCCACAGAUGGGGUUACUAC
rnacentral:lncRNA from 1 species